rnacentral:rRNA from 1 species
UACGUAGUGGCUAGCGUUAUCCGGAAUUACUGGGCGUAAAGGGUGCGUAGGUGGUUUCUUAAGUCAGAGGUGAAAGGCUACGGCUCAACCGUAGUAAGCCUUUGAAACUGAGAAACUUGAGUGCAGGAGAGGAGAGUAGAAUUCCUAGUGUAGCGGUGAAAUGCGUAGAUAUUAGGAGGAAUACCAGUUGCGAAGGCGGCUCUCUGGACUGUAACUGACACUGAGGCACGAAAGCGUGGGGAGCAAACAGG